AGAGAGCUAGGAUGAGGCAUUCUUGGAGCCACCUCGUUAGAAAAAUGAAGUCUGCUGCCUUGCUUUCACAAUGGCUGGAGCCUCAGAAGUCACUCCGAGAUGCAGCAAAGUGCAGGGGAUCAAACCAUUGAUUGCUGAAUUUGAGUCUUACUUUCGUCAUUUAUUAUUAGCUGUGUGACAGCUGGUAAAUUAACUUAAUCUCUCUGUCUCUGUGUUUUCAUUUGUAAAUGGUAUUAAUAUUAGUGCCUCUCCCCCAGG
rnacentral:lncRNA from 1 species